UACGAAGGGGGCGAGCGUUGUUCGGAAUCACUGGGCGUAAAGGGCGCGUAGGCGGCCCUUCUUGUCGCGUGUGAAAGCCCCGGGCUCAACCUGGGAACGGCGCGCGAGACGGGAGGGCUGGAGUUCGGGAGAGGAGCGUGGAAUUCCUGGUGUAGCGGUGAAAUGCGCAGAUAUCAGGAAGAACACCCGUGGCUAAGGCGGCUCUCUAGUACGGUACUGACGCUGAGACGCGAAAGCGUGGGGAGCGAACAGG
rnacentral:rRNA from 1 species